GCAAGUAAAAGUCGUAACAACGUUUCCGUAGGUGAACCUGCGGAAGGAUCAUUACCGAGUGAGGGCCCUCUGGGUCCAACCUCCCACCCGUGUUUAUUUUACCUUGUUGCUUCGGCGGGCCCGCCUUAACUGGCCGCCGGGGGGCUUACGCCCCCGGGCCCGCGCCCGCCGAAGACACCCUCGAACUCUGUCUGAAGAUUGUAGUCUGAGUGAAAAUAUAAAUUAUUUAAAACUUUCAACAACCGAUCUCUUGGUUCCGGCAUCGAUGAAGAACGCAGCGAAAUGCGAUACGUAAUGUGAAUUGCAAAUUCAGUGAAUCAUCGAGUCUUUGAACGCACAUUGCGCCCCCUGGUAUUCCGGGGGGCAUGCCUGUCCGAGCGUCAUUGCUGCCCUCAAGCACGGCUUGUGUGUUGGGCCCCGUCCUCCGAUCCCGGGGGACGGGCCCGAAAGGCAGCGGCGGCACCGCGUCCGGUCCUCGAGCGUAUGGGGCUUUGUCACCCGCUCUGUAGGCCCGGCCGGCGCUUGCCGAUCAACCCAAAUUUUUAUCCACGUUGACCUCGGAUCAGGUAGGCAUACCCGCUGAACUUAAGCAUAUCAAUAAGCGGAGGA
rnacentral:rRNA from 1 species